rnacentral:rRNA from 1 species
UACGAAGGGUGCAAGCGUUACUCGGAAUUACUGGGCGUAAAGCGUGCGUAGGUGGUGAGUUAAGUCUGUCGUGAAAGCCCCGGGCUCAACCUGGGAAUGGCGAUGGAUACUGGCUCGCUAGAGUGCGGUAGAGGAGAGUGGAAUUCCCGGUGUAGCAGUGAAAUGCGUAGAGAUCGGGAGGAACAUCAGUUGCGAAGGCGGCUCUCUGGACCGUAACUGACGCUGAGGAGCGAAGGCGUGGGGAGCGAACGGGG